UCAGACACUUUCUUCAUCUCCUCGGUCAGUCAUGCUUUCUCAGUGCUACAUGCCACAACCCCUUGUCGAACUUCCCGUUGAAGCAUGGCAAUCUCCUUUUCAGCCUCCCCAAGAUCUUUCUAUGCCUUCAGCAAUUUUUUCCCUUGAUUAGUGGUCUUUCCCUUGAAGAAUUUGAGUUCCUCUUCCAACCUAUUAAUGUGAGCUUCGAUCCUCACUGCCAUC
rnacentral:lncRNA from 1 species